rnacentral:rRNA from 1 species
GACGAACGCUGGCGGCAUGCCUAACACAUGCAAGUCGAACGAGACCUUCGGGUCUAGUGGCGCACGGGUGCGUAACGCGUGGGAACCUGCCUUUAGGUUCGGAAUAACUCAGAGAAAUUUGAGCUAAUACCGGAUGAUGUCUUCGGACCAAAGAUUUAUCGCCUUUAGAUGGGCCCGCGUAAGAUUAGCUAGUUGGUGGGGUAAAGGCCUACCAAGGCGACGAUCUUUAGCUGGUCUGAGAGGAUGAUCAGCCACACUGGGACUGAGACACGGCCCAGACUCCUACGGGAGGCAGCAGUGGGAAUAUUGGACAAUGGGCGAAAGCCUGAUCCAGCAAUGCCGCGUGAGUGAUGAAGGCCUUAGGGUUGUAAAGCUCUUUUACCCGAGAUGAUAAUGACAGUAUCGGGAGAAUAAGCUCCGGCUAACUCCGUGCCAGCAGCCGCGGUAAAGUGACUACUG